rnacentral:rRNA from 1 species
GAUGAACGCUGGCGGCGUGCCUAAUACAUGCAAGUCGAGCGAACAGACGAGGAGCUUGCUCCUCUGACGUUAGCGGCGGACGGGUGAGUAACACGUGUAUAACCUACCUAUAAUACUGGGAUAACUUCGGGAAACCGGAGCUAAUACCGGAUAAUAUAUUGAACCGCAUGGUUCAAUAGUGAAAGACGGUUUUGCUGUCACUUAUAGAUGGAUCCGCGCCGCAUUAGCUAGUUGGUAAGGUAACGGCUUACCAAGGCAACGAUGCGUAGCCGACCUGAGAGGGGGAUCGGCCACACUGGAACUGAGACACGGUCCAGACUACUAAGGGAGGCAGCAGUAGGGAAUCUUCCGCAGUGGGCGAAAGCCUGACGGAGCAACGCCGCGUGAGUGAUGAAGGUCUUCGGAUCGUAAAACUCUGUUAUUAGGGAAGAACAAAUGUGUAAGUAACUAUGCACGUCUUGACGGUACCUAAUCAGAAAGCCACGGCUAACUACGUG